rnacentral:rRNA from 1 species
UACUAUGGCCAUGCCACCUGAACAUGUCUAAUCUUGUCUGAUUUCAGAAGCUAAGCAGGGUCAGGUUUCAGAAGCUAGUUAGUACUUGGAUGGGAGACCACCUAGGAAUACUAGGUGCUGUAGAUU